UGAGAGCCCGUGCUGAACUUUAAGAACAGCACUAACUCUCUGAAAUAAUUGUGUGUUACAAGUUUUGGAGUCUUUUGACUAGUAGAGUUCAAGAGUGCCUACUUAACUGGAGCUGAAUGAGAGACUUAUCCCAAGAAUGAUCAAAGAAAGCGUGGAUUACUCCUGUACUUGAGGGAUUGAACUGAACCUGGCAUGGGUCCACGCUGGAAGAACGCUGUAUCCACCUCUGGUAGCUGUGACAGGCGCUGUUCCUUUCCUGUGGAUUCAUCUAGACGCAACAGACUCGUCUGGAAACGCCGCACAAGUAGUCUUGCGCGUACAGAACAACAAAGCUACGAACAUCUUGCGUUAACGCGUUUGGUUCCCGGUGUACGUAAAGUCAAGCCAAAGGAAGUGCGCAUACCUCUAAGGCCAGAAUGAAGAUACUUGCUCUGAACUGUAAGAUGGCCUCAUCUAACAGUGAUAUUAGCGAGAGGAUGAGAAACGUUUCUUUUUUUCCCCAAACGCUGGGUGUUUGGGAAGCAACUCCUAGAGCUGCACUGCUUCUGAAAGUGCUGGGAGCUGACACCCUCUGUGUCCGUGGCCCUUGCCACAAGGGGGAAGCCUCAGGCUUUCUCUGAAGAGAAGCCGCACAGAUGAGUGGAGAUGCUGCUGCUGUUGCCUAUGUUUGGAACUGGCCUGCCAGAUGGAGGUGAUGGAGCCACCUCCCUUUCCAGCAAAGCUGCUGCUCUGUUGGCUUCAGCUCUGAUUCUGUUCUGGAGUUAGCGUGCAGCAGAGUGGAGAGUCCAACACAGGAAGAACUGGUUGCAGGAGCACAUGAGGGAGAGCUGAGAAGUGGCAGCAGAACUGUGCAGAGCCCUGGAAACUGAACACAAGGAACUUCAUGCAAAAAGAACGAACCUGCCAGUGGAGGAAUCUGGAAGGAAAAAAAAAGGACAUGCUGAGGAAAAUGAUUUUGACAAUAUUUGGGGAAACAUCAGAACAAAUAAGGCUGAACUGAAUGUAGGCAGAAGAUCAAGAUUCUUUCUUUGGAUGUAGAUUGCAGAAAAUGUUUAGUAACAUAAACUUUUUCCAAAAAUGAGUACUGAAUUUAUGAACACCUAAAAAAUACUCUUUGAAAUGUAAAGAGCUAAUUAACAUUCUCAAGGGUGAUUUAUCCACGUUACAGACAGAAAAUUUACAAAUUGUAAGUAUUCCCUAGAUGCAAAUGAAUAGAUAGUAAAACCUAAAGAAAUGCCAAGGACAGAGAAAAACAUCUUAUUUUAAGGCAAACUAACUAUAAUGAAUUGAAUAACUUUU